rnacentral:rRNA from 1 species
AUGCGUCCCUAUGACUUAUUUGCUUCUACCUUGCGUUACAUGAUACCAUCAAUUAAGGUAGAUUUGAAAAAGUAUUUGCUUGGAUAUGAUCAUGUAUACCCUAUUAGUGGCAUUACUCACAUUAGUGAUGAUCACAGUUACUUUCCUCGUGCUAGACCUAUGCUUUAUGAAACAUAUCAUUCCAAUGCUAGUCUUGAGCUUAAUGAUAAAUAUCAUCCUCAUGUUAGUGUUGACCUUGCUGAUUUCUACCAUCCUAAACAUGUGCUUUAUAGCUAUGCUUAUGUAAUUGUAUAUUCGAUUGACGACUUGGAGGGUAUUAUCCCUACCACUUGCAUUGUCUCUUUUGUUGAGUGCUCUUUCAGGUUUUUGCUUCUGCACCGUUCACUUCAUGCUGACCAGGUUCGAGGUGACAUUCCAUGGGAUCCUGGUGGAUUCACGGCAUGGUGA